CAGAGGCACGAUGCCUCUCAAUACCAGUUGCAAGGGAGCCACAGCAGGAGAGAGGGCCUGCUUUCACCUCUUGCUUGUGGGCUCCCAGAGGCAUCCUCUGCAACUGGUAUUGAGAGCCAUCUUGCCUCCGAGGUGGCUUACAGCCACCAGACUAGUAGCCAUGGAUAGCCCCUGUCCUCCAUGAAUUUGUCUAAGCCCCUUUUAAAGCCAUCCAAGCAAAUGGCCAUUGCCACAUCCUGUGGCAGAGAGUUCCAACGGCUAAUUAUGCACUGGGUGAAAAAGUCCAGGGAAUGUGGAACUCCAAAAUCCAGGGGAAGAGUCGAACGAGGAUCAUUCCAGAGACCUUUCUACAGAGAGAGUGGCAGCUCUUUGCCAAGGAAAUGAACCCAGCGAGGCCCAGGAAAGAGCACACUCCUCUUCACCUACCCCAAAUAUUUUGACCAGAUCCAUCUGGGACAAGAAACUGCGCUCCACAGCCUGGAGUGUUGAGUCAGGCAAGGCACAGAGUGCUUUCUGUAGGCCCUCUGCGGCCCCCGCAUCCUUUGUCACCAGGAACUUGGAGAGAACGGAAGCAUUACAGACAAUCCCCUUCAAGGGCGAGCCAGCAAGAGAAAACUGGGAGAGGAGAAAAGGAUAUUGGGUGUUUAGCCACAAACAGAACCUACGUGGGCUUGUUUCUUUUUAUUUUUCACUGGAAUCUCUCAUAUUUAGGAAGGCAAGACAUUUCUGUUCUCCGAUUCCCUCUUCGGUGCAAGGUACCCCCUAGCAUCGGCUGAGCUGCUCUGACAUCACGGAAUGUCCACCAGCACUGCAACUGCUCAGGGUGGGAGUUCUCAGCAAGCUUACAUGAGAGGAGCGAGAAGUAAAAAUCACAGGGAGAGAGAAACCUCACAAAGAAUCUGGAAGAGGAACUGUGCGUGGUGGACAGACAAGGAGGAAGUGGACUACCAAAAGGAGGGGAGAAAGAACGAGAGGCCAGGGCAUGGAAAUGAUUUGAACAAAUUAAAACAAUUGUUUUAAAAAAGGAAAAAUCACCAUUCUAAAGAUCUCCACUUUCUUAACACACAGAGAGAGAAAGAGUCUAGUCCUGAAAGCUACCCGAUCUAUGAAGCUGAUGCAUAAAAGGCGAAGGUGGGUCAGCACAGAGGGCUGCAGUAGGAUGAAGAGAUAACACUGCCCUUUGCAGAGUCAGACCAUUCGGCCGUUUAACUAAGUACUGCCUGCUGGCAGCAGCAACCCAACUGGGGAUGCAAGGGAGGGAACCGUGGAACAUUUGCAUGAAAAGCACAUAUUGUACCAGAGUGCUACUCAGUCUGGGAGAGGAUUUGAACCCACUACCCAACUGGAAGCAGGAAAGGCCUGGCUGCUCACCACCAAGGCUGCUCUGAGGGGAGGAGAGCUGGUCUGGUGGCAGCAAGCAUGGAUUGUCCCCUUUGCUGCUAAGCAGGGUCCACCCUGGUUUGCAUUUGAAUGGGAGACUACAUGUAGGAGCACUGUCAGAUAUUCCCCUUCUUCGGGGAUGGGGCCACUCUGGGAUGAGCAUCUGAGGUCCCCAGUUCCCUCCCUAGCAGCAUCUCCAGGACAGGGCUGAGAGAGACUCCUGCCUGCAGCCUUGGAGAAGCCACUGCCAGUCUGGGUAGACAAUCCUGAGCAAGAUGGACCAAGGGUCUGACUCAGUAGAAGGCCGCUUCCUAGGUUCCUCUGUUUUUAGCAGGACAGGCAGCCACCAAUUUGCCUGCCCCCCUCUCCUGCUGCUGGACAUAAAGGCCCCAGUUCUCACUGUUCCUCCAAAGAAAGAGCCCGCCUUUCACUUACCACCUGCGGGUCGAGCUGAGACCUGAGCAGCGCCUCCACCAAUUCAGGAGGGAGGGAGGCGUUUGUCCGAAGGAACUGGGAGAACGUCUCGUUGUCUUUCAGGUACGUCCUAACCUGGGCAGCUGGCAAAGAGAAAAGGGGCACAAAAGGAGCAAGAUCUAAGCUUACUAUCAGACCAGCACAGAGGGAGGACACGCUUGUGUUUCCAGGCUAAGCCCAUCACAACGGAGUCCAGCCAAUUCCAGCUCCCUCGGACUCAGCAGGGGUGCCCAACUUCAGUCUGCCAGGUAUUGCUGGACUACAACUCCCAUCAUCCCUGGCUACUGGUCACUGUGGCUGGGGACGUCAGGACUCGUAUCCCUGGGGUGCCCAACUGCGGCCCUGCAGUUGCUGUUGGACUGCAAAUCCCAUCAUCCCCAGCUGCAGUGGCCAAUAGUCUGGGAUGAUGGGAGUUGUAGUCCAACAGCCCCUGCAGGGCCGUUGGUGUCAGGCUCUUGGUACAGCCAUCCACCUUCCACCGCCAAAGGAGGUUUUAUUUAUUUUAUUUCAUUUUUUACAUCUAUAUCCCGCUUUUUCCUCCGAGGAGCCCCGAGCGGUGUACAUGGUUAUGUUUAUCCUCACAACAACCCUGUGAGGUAGGUUAGGCUGAGAGAUGCAUGACUGGCCCGGAGUCACCCAGCUAGUUUCAUGGCUGAAUGGAGUUUCGAACUCGGGUCUUCCCAGUCCUAGACCAACACUCUAACCCCAAGGAUACAACAAUCGUAACCGGCAAAGAACCAAAGGCUCCUGUGUUUUUUUGGGAGGCAGUCUAGGCAACAUCAACACAGCACCUUUCACCAUAAGAACAUAACAUAAGAACAGCCCUGCUCGAUCAGGCCCAAGAAGAUGAUGAUGAUGAUGAUGAUGAUGAUGAUGAUGAUGAAUUCGAUUUCUAUACUGCCCUUCCAAAAAUGGCUCUGGGUGGUUUAUACAGAGGAAUAAUAAAUAAAUAAGAUGGAUUUCUGUCCAGCAUCCUGUUUCGCACAGUGGCCCAACAGUUUCCUCUGGGGAGCCCACAGGCAAGAAAUAUGUGCAUGCCCUCUCUCCUGCGGUUGCUUUCCUGCAACUGGUAUUUAGAGGCAUCUUGUCGCUGAGGCUGGAGGUGGCCUGUAGCCACGGAGAGACCUGUCCUCCAUGAAUUUACCUGAGCCCCUUUAAAGCUAUGCAAGCUGAAUAAUCAUUCAUUCAUUGCCGCCAUUCCCCCUCCCGCCGCCGCCAGCCUCCAUGCUGCGGCUGGUCUCCCCGGCCAGGCAAGGGCCCCAAGGUCUUCCCCCUGCCCAGCUUCGGCGGCUGCCGCCACGUCGGCCAGCUUCCCCCGCCACCUCUUCCCCUGCCCGCCUUUGCGGUGGCCACUUCUCCUCGGCCGCCGCUUCUCCUUCUCCUGUCCAUCAUGGCCGCCUGGUCCCAGCGGUCAUGUCUCCCUCGGCGUGUUCUGGGCAUGCGCUCCGCGCAUGCCCAGAACAGCCAAGGGAGACACAGACGCACGCCAAGCUCUUUAUUAUAUAGGAUAUGUCCCGCCUGACCCCAAAGGCUCUAGGCGGUUCACAAAAAUAAACACAAGAAAAACAAAAAAACCCAAAACAAAUGGUUAAAAACAGCAAUAUAAAAAUUGAAAACAUCCCGAGAUUACUAAAAAACCUGGUUGAAAGAAAUCCAGUUCAUUCCAUUCCACAAUACCAAAUGCACUUCCAUCCCGAAUGAUCGUUCAUUCAUUUCGCCAUUUGCCAACCGGACAACCUCACUGUAGCAGCAUCAACGUAGGCACCCUCCCAGGACCUCCGUGCAUGGGCAGGGAGCAGCCAUGCGCAGGCCUCACCUGUCCGCUGACUGGCGUUGCCGCUGAGUUGGCGCAAUGCGUUCAGGAGCUGGAAGAAACCGCUCUGUGCCUGCUGGUCAUGCGCAUGGAGAAGCACCGUCCGAGCAUCCGCAAAGAGGCGGGAGAUGCUGGGAAGGGGAGGAACCAAGGCAGGCUGGGGACAGCACUGUAAGCAAGAACACCUGAUAUUAUUCUGCAUGGCAUGGACCAAAACCAGUUCAAAGUUUAAAAGGUGAGGUGGGGUGGAUCUGACGAAGCCAAAGGCUACAAUGAGUAGUUCAGUUCCCUGACAGCAAAUUGAUCGUUGCUGAAAGCAUGGAAGUUGUGCUUUGUAAAAGGCAUUUGAUCAUCUCCCUCACCCCCGCCAGCUUAAAAAAGAGCAGGUAAAUACAGGUUACCAAAAAGGAAAAGGACUCUUCCCAAAAGGAAAAGGGAGAAAAGAAAUAACGGGAUCUGAAGCCCAAGGUUUAAUACUGUAUUUGCCUGAAUCCAAGACUAGAUUUUCCCCCAAGGUUUUUUUGGUAUUAGAAAUUGGGAGGUCGUCUUAAAUACAGAGUCCUGUUCCUUUUGGGUAAAUGGCAUUUCAACUCCCCGGCAGCAGACCCAUUAUAGAUGAAAGCAUGAACAUUGUGCCUUAUUUUUUAAAAAAAACCUUUUCGAAUACUCCCGCCACUUAAAAAUAGAGGUUACAUACAGGUUCUACUUGCAUUUCUCCAAAAAUGAGGACUCUAAAAGCAAAGCACUUGUGGGGUGAGAAACUAGUCCUGAGUUCAGGUAAACACAGUAAAACUUCAAUUGUUUUAAUUGUGUUUGUAAUAGUUUUAACAUUUUAAAUUUUAAUUGCUGAAAUAUUUUAAUCUUUUUAUCAGUUUUUAAAAUUGUUUUGUGUAGACUGCCCAGAGACUUGUGUUUUGGGCGGCAUACAAAUGUGUUAAACAAAACACAAAGCACAAAAACACAAAGCACACAAAACACACUGCUGUUUUUUGUGGUUUGGGAACCACUAACCAUUUUUUUAAAAUACAUUUUUCAUUCCACGCUCCACCCAGCCCUCCUGCUUCUUCUAUCUAGGGUGCAGUGUGUGGGGGCCACAGAAACCCACCAGAGAGCCCGGACUCACAUGGAAUUGUUGAAGUUCCCCACCACGCCUGGGGCCUCCCCGGCUGUCGGGUACCGGAAGCAAGGAUUGUUCACGUUGCAGACGAUGCCCUGAAGCCAGGCCAGCGUCCCAGCCGAGGGCAGCGCUUUGUUGGGGAAGUGGCCUGCGGGAGAAGAGAUGCAGCAGGGGCUGCCACUCCAGACUUACAUUCAUGCUGCUCGAACGGCGGGUGAGACUGGCGCACCGAAAUGAGGAUGAAGAAUAAAAAGAGGGGCCAGAGGACUUCAAUGAUCAGCUGGACCUGGGGGAGAGAAAGAGGCAGGUACUGGGCAGACAGACAGCCAGUUAGGGGCAGAGGACGCUUGAGUCAGACCCAUGGUCCAUCUAGCUCAGGAUUGUCUAGGAUCAGGGAUUCUCAGUGUGUGGGUCCUCAGAUGUAAUUGGACUUCAAUUCCCAUAAUGCCCAACCAAAGGCCACUGGGGCUGGGGAUUAUGGGAGUUGAAGUCCAAUAACAUCUGGGGGGACCCACAUGUUGAGAAACCCUGGUCUACGUAAAGGUAAAGUGCGCCGUCGAGUCAGUGUCGACUUGUGGCAACUGCAGAGCCCUGUGGUUGUCUUUGGUAGAAUACAGGAGGGGUUGACCAUCGCCUCCUCCCAUGAAGUAUGAGAUGAUGCCACCUUCCUAUAUCGCUGCUGCCCGAUAUAGGUGUCUGGGAAACAUACCAGCGGAGAUUCGAACCGGCAACCUCUGGCUUGAUAAUCAAGUCAUUUCCCCGCUGCGCCAUUAGGUGGCUACAUCAGGGAUCAUCAGUGCUGGGAUUGCAGAUGCUAUUGGACUUCAACUCCCAUAAUCCCCAGCCCCAGUGGCCUUUGGUUGGGGAUUGUGGGAGCUGAAGUCCAGCAACAUCUGGGGACCCAACAUUGAGAAUCGCUGGGCUACACAGACUGGCAGCGGCUCCUCCAAGGUUUCGGGCAGGAGUCUCUCCCAGGCCUAUCUGGAGAUGCUGCUGGAGAGGGAAUUUGGAACCUUCAGCCUGCAAGCAGGUAGGCAAGUGCUCUUCCCAGAGUGGCCCCAUCCCUUAAGGGGAAUAACAUAUUUGCCUGAAUCCAAGACUAGGAUUUUUUCCAAGCUCUUUGCUGUUAUUGCUAGCUUGGUGUAGUGGUUAGAGUGCUGGACUAAGGCUGGGGAGACCCGAGUUCAAAAAGUUCUAAAAACUGUGCUUACUACCAUAGGAUCAGCUCUCUUCCUUCCAGUUAAAGAAAUUAAUUUUAAAUUGACUCUAUCGGCAUAAAUUAAUAUACUGUAUACAGCUAGAACAAUUGUUUUGAACAGGAUUACAAAGAAAGCUUAGUUCUCUCAGUUUUAGAUGGUGCACAUAUUGCAGUUUCUGUCACCUUAAGAAGAGGCAUUCUCUUCUGUGAGAUCACACAGGUGGAAUGCCUCUCCCAAGGUGGCGGCACCACCACCCACGUGAGAUCACAGAGUGGAAAUGCCUCUCCCAAUGUGACAACCUUCCCUCCUGUGAGAUACUGGGGGGAUGCCAAGGUAGUGACAUUCCCACCUGUGAGAUCACAGAAGAACAAUGCCUCUUCCAAGGUGGUGGUAUUCCCUUCUGUGAGAAUGCAUCUUCCAACAUAACUCCUGCAAAUAUUGCAGCCCAAGGAAAUGACUCACUGUCUGUCGACGCCGAUAGGUGAAGUUCUUCCACAUCAACAACGCCAGCUGAAUGCCAAAACCCAUCCUGCGAGGCGGGACAAGGUCUCCCGCACCAUGCCCUGUUGCCAGCUGCACAGUUCUCCGUUUGGUGAGCUUUAAUGGAAAAGGGAAAACUGGUUAGCCUAUUUAUAUGGGAGGAAUUGUAUUCCACAAUUCCAAGUUAUUUUGUCUCCCGGGAACCUGCACCUUUUGGUUUUUUAAGUUUCCAGACUUUAUUGAUGGAUUUCUUCAAGGAUUUCUGGUCUCCUUUUGCAAACAAUACAGUAUAGUUCAAGGCAGAUCACAUCGAUAAAAUAAGCAAAUACAGGAUUAUUUAUUGAAGCAAACUAUAAGGCAACAAUAAUAAAAACAAAGAGGAGGAAGAGAGACUGUGGAGAUAUUCUGGGAAGCUUCGUGAAGUCUCCAAGAGAGAGGAUCGAACUUGAACUCAAGACUUUAGAAAACCACCAUCACCCCGCCCCAUGAUUAGUAGAAGCAAAGUAAACUCUGCAAAUUGGAUCAUGAUAUGCUAACAUGUGCAAGGGCAGACGAGUUGGUCUUGUGGAGCAAGCAUGAAAUGUCCCCUUUGCUAAGCAGGGCCCACCCUGGUUUAAAUCUGAAUGGGAGACUACAUGUGUGAGCAUUGUAAGAUCUUCCCCUCAGGGGAUGGGGCCACUCUGGGAAGAGCAUCUAAGUUCCAGGUUCCCUCCCUGGCAGCAUCUCCAAGAUAGGGCUGAGAGAGACUCCUGCCUGCAACCUUGGAGAAGCCGCUGCCAGUCUGGGUAGACAAUACUGAACGAGAUGGACCAAGGGUCUGACUCAGUAUAUGGCAGCUUCCUAUGUUCUUAUAUUUGCAUGACUUAAGAACAUAAGAACAGCCCUGCUGGAUCAGGCCCAAGGCCCAUCUAGUCCAGCAUCCUGUUUUGCACAGUGGCCCACCAGAUGCUGCUGGAAGCCACAGACAGGAGUUGAGGGCGUGCCCUCUCUCCUGCCAUUACGCCCCUGCAACUGGUACUCAGAAGCACCCUGCCCUUGAGGCUGGAGGUGGCCCACAGCCCUCUGACUAGUAGCCAUUGAUAGACCUCUCCUCCAUGAAGUCAUCCAAACCCUUCUUAAAGCCAUCCAGGUUGUUGGCUGUCACCACGUCCUGUGGCAGAGAGUUCCACAAGUGGAUCACGCCUUGUGUGGAAAAGUACUUCUGUUUUCUGGUCCUAAAUUUCCUGGCAAUCAAUUUCACAGGAUGACCCCUGGUUCUAGUGUGAUGUGAGAGGGAGAAGAGUUUCUCUCUGUCCACUUUCUCCACACCAUGCAUGAUUUUAUAGACCUCUAUCAUGUCUCCCCGCAGUCGUCUUUUUUCUAAACUAAAAACCCCCAGGUGUUGUAGUCUUGCCUCAUAAGAAAGGUGCUCUAUGCUCCUGAUAAUCUUGGUUGCCCUCUUCUGCACCUUUUCCAGUUCUACAAUGUUCUUUUUUAGAUGUGGUGAACAGAAUUGUACGCAGUACUCCAAGUGUGGUUGCACCAUAGUUUUGUAUAUGGGCAUUAUAAUAUUAGCCGUUUUAUUUUCAAUUCCCUUCCUAAUGAUCCCUAGCAUGGAAUUUGCCUUUUUCACAGCUGCUGCACAUUGAGUCGACACUUUCAAUGAGCUGUGUUUGGUAUCAUCUGCAAAUUUGGCCACCUCGCUGCUUUCCCCUGCUUCUAGAUCAUUUAUGAAGAAAUUAAAAAGCACCGGUCCCAGUACAGAUCCCUGGGGGACCCCACUUCUUAUUUCCCUCCAUUGCGAAAACUCUCCAUUGAUACCUACCCUCUGUUUCCUGUCUUUCAACCAGUUAGCAAUCCACACAUGUACUUGUCCCCUUAUCCCAUGACCGCUAAGUUUCCUCGGGAGUCUUUGAUGAGGAACUUUGAUGAGGACUUAUAGAGUCAUGCACUCAGUGGCUGACAUUCUGACUAAUUUACUAGAGGAAGCCCUACAAAAUGUAGUAGUACUUCCGAGUGACUCUUGAGUAGUACUAUUGAGUCACUUGGUCUUCAGACCGGCCAGUUUUCCUUGGUGGGGAAUUUUUCAUUCCUUUUUAGGAUAGAAACUGCCUAGACACCUGAGGAAACGGUUGAUGGUACUCCAAGAUUCCUGGAUUUUAUCUGUUAUUGUCCAAACUAGACCAAAACUGCUCUACGCUUCCCAUACCUGAAAGGGAUUGGAUCAGCAAUCACAGCUAUUUUGAAAAGCAUUUCAUUAGGUAUAAAGGUAAUGUUGUGCCCUCGGGUCGGUGUCGACUCCUGGUGACCACAGAGCCCUGUGGCUGUCUUUGGUAGAAUACAGGAGGGGUUGACCAUUGCCUCCUCCCACGCAAUAUGAGAAGAAGAAGAAGAAGAAGAAGAAGAAGAAGAAGAAGAAGAAGAAGAUGAUGAUGAUGCCUUUCAGCAUCUUCUGAUAUCGCUGCUGCCUGAUAGAGAUGUUUCCCAUAGUCUGGGAAACAUACCAGCGGGGAUUCAAACCAGCAACCUCUUGCUGGCUAGGAAAGUCAUUUCCCUGCUGCUUGUGAAAAGAAAAGAAAAAUGUUCUCCAAGGUGUUUAUGUGACUCUCCAGGAGGGGAGAAAUUACUUUUUUAAAGCAAUGUUGUGUUGACAGGAAACUGAGGAAGUCCACUUUAAAAGCAAGGAACAUUGCCCAAGGAACUAAGCCAGAAAAAUCCAAGAAGCGAGUGAGAAGAUUUAGCAUUCCACACGCCUACUCCGACUUAAGUCCCUGGAGCACAAGAGGCUUACUCCCAACUGGUUGGACUGGCCACUCAGCUUUCCCCAACAGGAUAAUAUAACGUCAUAUAUGCAUUAGUACCACUGGGGGAAAGGUGCAAAGCCAAGGUGGCAAAAGCCUUUUAAGGAGGUCCCACUGCCCCACCUGUUCCAUCCGAGGGUCUCUGGAGUCCCGUUGGAAGACACUCCAGCUUGGCACAGAGAACAAGACUGCACACCUGGUUCGGCCAAGGAAAUCCAGGCCCAAAGAGUUCCAGUAUACAAAUCUCAGAAAGCCACACAAAGAAAUCACUUUGCAAGAAUCAAGUCGUCCCAGAUACGGAUCAGAAAAUCUGCCCCACACCUGUUCCACUCCUUUAUUGCUCCCCUGUGCUCUGUGUGCCGCUCCUCCUGGAUUUCUGUUUAACAGGAAGGAUUUCUAAAAUCCGCCCUGGAAUUAGAGCAACCGUCUGUUGGCUGGUCAUUCCCUUCCCUUCCCAUCUUUUGUUCCUCUCCACAUGCAAGCGAGCAUGGAUAAAACACUACUAAAAAAAGCUAUCCUGCCAAGAUGAUUUCUGUGUAGUGUUUUUACCAAUGCUGGGGAGUGAGAAAAAGAGGGGGAUAUUUGCUCACAUACGUCCCACUUGUCAAUUUCCAAGACAGAUCUGGUUGCCCGCUGUGGGAAACCUUUCGCUCUGCUCUAGUGGAGCUCUUCUUUAGGUUCUCGGGCGUGCAAAAGUAAAACACAGCACAAAAAGAAAGUGGAUACAGUACGGGCAGUCCUUUCGUGAGGAGGUGACCUCAAGCAACAGACUAUUCAGGCCACAAUGGGGUGGCAAAAUGCCCCAUGUCAUUCCUUGCUACUAUGCAGGGGGAGGGAGGCGAUGUUUGGCAUCCUGCCUCAGCUGCAUAGGAUCUUGAGCAGACAUUCACACAUAUCCUCACAUCACCAUUGCUUUCUUCUAAUGUUUUACCCAUGUAAUACUCUUUGGAUCAAAGUUCUUUCCUGGGCUAUUAGCACUCUCUGAUUUAGCAAGGUAUACAAUAAAAGGAUUCCAUUGUGCCAGUCAUGACUGUUCAGCACGUAUUGGUCCAUACAAGUGAUGUCUAACAACAUUCCUUUGAAACAUUCAGCCAAAUGAAAAAUCUGGCUUCUGGAUUGCCAACAUAUUCUACUAUGUAACAUUAAAAUCAAUAAACAUAUUUAUACUGGUAGGUGAGGCCCUUCACUGAACAGGCAAUCAUUUUGCGUGGAUUACGCUUAUAGGAAAGUUCAAGACACGAAAUAGAUGUCACAGCAUAUUUUAUUACGGAAUUUGCAAAAAGAAAGUAAAAGCACAGUUUGAAAUGUGUAGGAUUUCAACUUCAGCCUUUACUCAUUUAUUUAAUAAUUACCAUACAUGGUAGAUUUGAAUCUGAGAAAGAUUUUCUGCUUCUCUCAUGCAUGAAGCCAUUUUUGAAUGACUGAAAUGACUACCAAGUGUUAAAAAUACGUUGAGAACAAUAACAGUUAAGAUCUGAUGAUUAUUAUAUUCAGAAUUUCAUUUUUUUAAAUACCAAAUAAAAAUUUAAAUCUUUCCCCCAGCA